GACGAACGCUGGCGGUGUGCUUAACACAUGCAAGUCGAACGGUGAAGCUCCAGCUUGCUGGAGUGGAUCAGUGGCGAACGGGUGAGUAACACGUGAGCAACCUGCCCCUGACUCUGGAAUAAGCGCUGGAAACGGCGUCUAAUACUGGAUACGAGAAGGGUCCGCAUGGGCACUUUCUGGAAAGUUUUUCGGUUGGGGAUGGGCUCGCGGCCUAUCAGCUUGUUGGUGAGGUAAUGGCUCACCAAGGCGACGACGGGUAGCCGGCCUGAGAGGGCGACCGGCCACACUGGGACUGAGACACGGCCCAGACUCCUACGGGAGGCAGCAGUGGGGAAUAUUGCACAAUGGGCGAAAGCCUGAUGCAGCGACGCCGCGUGAGGGAUGACGGCCUUCGGGUUGUAAACCUCUUUCAGCAGGGAAGAAGCGAAAGUGACGGUACCUGCAGAAGAAGCACCGGCUAACUACGUG
rnacentral:rRNA from 1 species